rnacentral:rRNA from 1 species
CGUAGUUGGCCGAUCCUUAUUCACGUGGUACCGUCCUCCCUCUUCCCACGUAAAAGUGCUUUACAACCCAAGGCCUUCAUCGCACACGCGGCGUUGCUGCCUCAGACUUUCGUCCAUUGGGCAAUAUUCCCUA